GCCUGCUGUGUCAGCCAGCAGAGGCUGACCUGGACACCUGCGGGGAAAAACUCCAGAGAAAUGGAUUCUGUGCCCACGAGUUCUGCCUGUUUUUUGCCAGCCACCUUCCUCAGCACAAUGAUGAUCAAGUAGGACCCUUUGGCUUUCUCCCAAGGGAUAUCCAAGAUGUAUCUCCUGGGCAGCAGAGCAGGCCACCAUCAUGGGAGGGCAUUAAUGCAUUCACCGAGCAAGGAGAGAGACAC